UACGUAGGGUGCAAGCGUUAAUCGGAAUUACUGGGCGUAAAGCGUGCGCAGGCGGCUUUGCAAGACAGAUGUGAAAUCCCCGGGCUCAACCUGGGACUGCAUUUGUGACUGCAAGGCUGGAGUACGGUAGAGGGGGAUGGAAUUCCGCGUGUAGCAGUGAAAUGCGUAGAUAUGCGGAGGAACACCGAUGGCGAAGGCAAUCCCCUGGCCUGCACUGACGCUCAUGCACGAAAGCGUGGGGAGC
rnacentral:rRNA from 1 species